rnacentral:rRNA from 1 species
GUUUAUUUUACCUUGUUGCUUCGGCGGGCCCGCCUUAACUGGCCGCCGGGGGGCUUACGCCCCCGGGCCCGCGCCCGCCGAAGACACCCUCGAACUCUGUCUGAAGAUUGUAGUCUGAGUGAAAAUAUAAAUUAUUUAAAACUUUCAACAACGGAUCUCUUGGUUCCGGCAUCGAUGAAGAACGCAGCGAAAUGCGAUACGUAAUGUGAAUUGCAAAUUCAGUGAAUCAUCGAGUCUUUGAACGCACAUUGCGCCCCCUGGUAUUCCGGGGGGCAUGCCUGUCCGAGCGUCAUUUCUGCCCUCAAGCACGGCUUGUGUGUUGGGCCCCGUCCUCCGAUCCCGGGGGACGGGCCCGAAAGGCAGCGGCGGCACCGCGUCCGGUCCUCGAGCGUAUGGGGCUUUGUCACCCGCUCUGUAGGCCCGGCCGGCGCUUGCCGAUCAACCCAAAUUUUUAUCCAGGUUGACCUCGGAUCAGGUAGGGAUACCCGCUGAACUUAAGCAUAUCAAU